CCUACGGGAGGCAGCAGUGGGGAAUAUUGCACAAUGGGCGCAACCCUGAUGCAGCAACGCCGCGUGAGUGAUGACGGCCUUCGGGUUGUAAAGUUCUUUCUUCAGGGACGAUAAUGACGGUAUCUGAGGCGUUAGCCACUGCUAACUACGUCCCAGCAGCCGCGGUAAUACGUCGGGGGCGAGCGUUUUACGGAAUGACUGGGCGUAAAGGGGGCGGAGGCGGGCUUGUAAGUGAGAUGUGAAAUACUCGGGCUCAACUUGAGAACUGCAUUUGAAACUGGAAGUCUAGAGUGCAGGAGAGGGGGGUGGAAUUCCUGGUGUAGCGGUGAAAUGCGUAGAGAUCAGGAAGAACACCGGUGGCGAAGGCGACCCUCUGGA
rnacentral:rRNA from 1 species